GAUGGAGCAAGACCCUGUCUCAAAAAAAAAAAACCACCAAAAACUGAUGGCCGGGUGCAGUGGCACGCCUGUAAUCUCAGGACUUUGGGAGGCUGAGGUGGGUGGAUCACUUGAGGUCGGGAAUUUGAGACCAGCCUGACCAACAUGGAGAAACCCUGUCUCUACUAAAAAUACAAAAUUGGCUGGGCCUAGUGGCGCAUGCCUGUAAUCCCAGCUACUUGGGAGGCUGAGGUAGGAGAAUCGCUUGAACCUGGGAGGCGGGGGUUGUGGUAAGCCGAGACUGUGUCAUUGCACUCCAGCCUGGGCGACAAGAGCGAAACUCUGUCUCAAAAAAAAAAAAAAACACAUUACAGUGUUUGCCAACAUCCUAAAACAAAAAAUAAUGAUUUUUGGGAAAAACAAAAAAUUAUUUAACUAUUUUGAUUGACUAUAGGGAUCUUAGCUUGGCUAAAUCAACAAUAUAGCAAUGUAUCUUAAUGCUCUAAAAAGUAACAAUACCUAGGACUGACUGAAUGUUAAUUUCUGGAAUUCAUUUAUCUUGUUUUAUUUGCCUUGUUCAGUAUUUUUCAUUUACCAUAUGAAGUUUAGAAAUAACAAUUUCCUUAAGUUAACUUCAAUAAGACAGUUUUGAUGGUGGGACCUUGGCAGAAGUAUAUUGAGUCAGUGCCGGCUGCGUUCAUGGCUUCUUGUCAGGGUAGUAACAUUUUGCAACCAAAUCUGCACAGAUUUGUAGCCAAGUCUACAAAGUGCUUAACAGCUCUUUUCAUUGCAUCCUGUGAGAUGGUUGUGAUGAUCCAGGAAAUGGGGUCUCAGGAAUCUGAAGAAGCUGCCUGAGCCAAGGUGAUUUCUAGGAGUUUUUUUGUUUGUGGUAUGUGAAUUGGGGUGUGUGGGGGUGGGGUGUGUGUGUAGACAGGGUCCCACUGUGUUGCUCAGGCUGGUGCCAAACUCCUGGCCUCAAGGGAUCCUCCUGCCUCAGCCUCUCAAAGUGCUGGGAUUACAGGCAUAAACCACAACUCAAUAAAAAAGUUUUUAAAAAUUUACAAAGCUCAUAUUUGAUCCAGCUAGGAUUUUACCCUGUACAUUUGUAUUUCUUGUAGGCUGGCGCACAGAUAUCUUAAAUGGCUACUAAUUGCUGCUGUGUAUGAAAACAAAUGGCUAUCAAGGCCGGGUGCAGUGGCUUACAGAUCUGGUCUGAAUCUCAAGUCCAGACCAGUCCAGAGUUCAAGACCAGCCUGGGCAACAUGGUGAAACCCCAUCUAUACAAAAACUCGGCAAGGCAUGGUGGCAUGCACCUGUUGUCCCAGCUACUCAGGGGCUGAGGCAGGAGGAUGGCAUGAGCCCAGGAGCUUGAGGCUGCAGUGAGCUGUGAUUGUGCCACUGCACUCCAGCCUGAGUGACAGAGUGAGACCCCCAUCUCCAAAAGAAAAGGCUAUCAAUACAAAAGUUUAUCUAAAUUACUGUACAGCUAUACAAUGGAAUACUCUACAAAAUGGAGAGAUCCAUAAGAUAAAGCAAAUGAAUAAAGCAAAAUGCAUGUGUUGACAGCUGUUGUGAUACCUCAGUUCUUGUCUUCUUGGUUUAAAAGAAUUUAAAUGAGACAGCAAAGGAGAUGCAGCAUAAUUUAUUGCAAAAGAAAAGGAGUAUUUUGAAAGUUAGGUGCAGAACAGACAGUACACCUGAGAGAGAGAAUUCAGGGCCGGCUGCUCGUAAGGGUGAGACAGCAUUGAUUAUUGCUGGAGAAACUCCCUUUAUGGGAGUUUUGCAUUAUUAUUCAUAAGGAGGUGAGGUGUUGCAGUAAUCAUGUCCUGGGUGGUCCUCUGCACAGGUGCAGUAGCUGUUAAUGCUUGUUCAUACACCACAUGUCUCAGUAGCAUCUUAAAUUUCCACCUAGAGGUGUGUUUUUUAUUAUUAUCAUGUGCAAAGGAUCAGUUUGAGGACAGGUAAAAUCAAAAUGUGUAUGCUCUCUAGAAGGGAAAGUCCCUACUGAAGAUAGCUUUGCUUAAAUGAGCUCAAUUACAAUGUGAAUGCUGAGGUUUAUUGUGUUGGCUGUAUGGUCAUGAGAAAAUGGUCAUUUCCUUGACUACCUGAUACGGUUUGGCUGUGUCCCCACCCAAGUCUUAUUUUGAAUUGUAAUCCCCAUAAUUCCCACAUGUUGAAGGAGGGACUUGGUGGUAGGUGACUGGAUCAUGGGGGUGGUAUCCCCCAUGCUGUUCUCAUGAUUGUGAGUUCUCACGAGAUCCAAUGGUUUUAUACAUGGUAGUCUCUCCUGCUGCCAUGUAAAACAUGCCUGCUUCCCCUUCUGCCAG
rnacentral:lncRNA from 1 species